AUCUAGAAGAGAUAUCCACGUAGACAAUUAGACCAUACUACCGAAGCUUGAUGGCUUUUUCUUUCUUUUUUAUUUUUUUAAGAUUUAUUUAUUAUUAUAUGUAAGUACACUGUAACUGUCUUCAGACACCAGAAGAAGGCUUCUUCAACAACAGAUAAAAAAAAAAAAGUUGCCAUUUGAAAACAUUCUAUUUGGCAUUUUUUUAGUAGCAGUUUUUAAACUAUAUCCCAAUUAUUUCCCUCAAAUAAGAUAUACACAGGGAAUUAUGAUUUAAUAUGAAGCCACGGCCCAAAAAUUUUAGGAGGGGUGCCAGAGACUGAACCAUUGUUUACCGUGAUAAUUAAGUGGCAUACCAUUGAACUAUGUACUCAGCAAUGUAUGUGUAUGUAUGUGUUGAGAGUAGCUAGGCUAACAGGCCUGGAUUGCUUAACUUAGCUUAAAGCAUACAUAUUUUAAAGUUAAUCACUUCCUUAUAUCAAAGUUUUGUUUGUUUUGAUUUUUUUAAUGAGUCAUUAUCUGCCCCAUGGUAUAAGGAUUUAUAGAACUAAGUCUGAUUACCCUAACCACCAUGUAAAACUUUAGAAGGCAUUACCACACCUGGUUUAUCUUAGAGCCUCCCAUGGUUCAUGAUAUUUAUUAUGAUAAGAGACCCUCAAUAAAUAUCCAUCAGUAAAUUGUUGCUUUUAUGAGCUCUAUCUGUGGUAGAAGGUUUUGAUAAUCCUUGAUAAGCCAUAGCAACUCCUUGGUCCAAAGAAUAUAUAUAUAGUUAUAUAUCCUAAUGGCCAAGUCUCUGAGUCCUGAAAAUGCUGGAGAAAUGACAACCAAGAAACCACACUGUCUUGAGUGACUACAUAGAAAUAAUGCUGCCCUCAAGAGAGGCAUUCAAGCUUCAGGGGGCAAAUGCCCUCUGUGAAGAAAACACUGUCUUCUGACAGUGUGAAAAGGAAAACAGCCUAAAGGAAUUCACAUAAGGGCAGCCUAGCUUUAAACAGAUACCCAUACUUGAUCUCCCCAUUCACAGGACAGUUGCUAGGUCCCUUGUGAGAUGUAGCUCUGGGCCUGCAAGGAAAGCAGGGAUGCUACAAGGUGAUGCUAAAGCUCUCAAGCAGAAAACUGCUCAGUUACACAGCUCAUCUGUACAAAGGAGCUGAUUUAACUGUGUCUGUAGAUCUCCCAGAGCUAACUGCAGCUACACAAAUCAUUCUAAACUCUCCUCAUUUUGAAAAUACCCAGAGUAAGUUGGUAGUGAUGAUGAAAUUUUAAAGUAGAAGACUAAUGAAUUUGCAGAGUUCUCAAAUGGUCCAUCUCAAAGUCAUUGAACUUCUGAUCCUAGGACCACCUCGCUGCUUGAGGGUUUUAGCAAAGAUAUUUUGAUAAUAACCAACCGGAAGCUUCUCUGAAAAUAUUUUCUAAUUUAAGCAGUCGUUGAUUCAUAGGGUUGGUGGUACAAUUUGGAUGGUCAACAUAUUUCUCAUUACUUCAUAGACCGAUUUGAGCAGCCAUUGAAAGAACAAGCAUUGGCCAGUCUUGAUGAGAUCUUGAAAUCUUUGUUAUCUUAAACCAUCAGGAACAGCUUAGAAUUAUGACCAAGGUGAAAAGAGUCCUGCUCUGUCUUAUUUCUGCAGUGACUACGCCUGUCUGGGUUACUUGUACGUUGAUCUUUUAUUAUUAUUAUUAUUACUUCAAUUAUUCUUAAAAAUAAUGUGCAUAAAAUAAUUUUAAAUUAAAUAUCCUCUGUACAAAAUCGACACACACAAUAUUAGGAAAAUAAUUUCAAUGAUUAUCUCAUUUGUCUCUUUUUAUCAAUCUGGUAUUGCACAGUAUGCUCAGCAAAUAAAUUAAUAUACCUGUUAAUAUUGGGAAUAAAAUCUAUUCAUCUCAAUAAAGAAGUUGUCCUGGACUGAGAUGUCCUGAGGCUGGAUGAGUAUCAUGAUUCAGUAGAUUUAGACCCAUCCUGUUAUAUGCCCGUUUUGAAUGGCUUGGCAUAUGUUAAUUCUUUCAGUCAGUUUUAGAAAACAAGGUCAAAGUCCCUUCUCUCUCUCUUUUCUUUAAAGAUUUAAAGAUUUAUUUUAUUUAUAUGAAUACACUGUAGCUGUCCAGAAGAUUAUGAGCCUUCAUGUGGUUGUAGGGAAAUUGGGACCUCUGCUCGCUCUGGUCAUCCCUGCUCCCUCAGGCCCAAAGAUUUAUUUAUUAUUAUUCAUAAGUACACNNNNNNNNNNNNNNNNNNNNNNNNAAGAGGGCAUCAGAUCUCAUUACGGGUGGUUGUGAGCCACCAUGUGGUUGCUGGGAUUUGAACUCAGGACCUUCAGAAGAGCAGUCGGUGCUCUUAACCGCUGAGCCAUCUCUCCAGCCCUGAAGUCCCUUCUCUUAAAGGUAAAUUAUCUGACCUUUUGUUUUGGGUCAUCUGCCAGAGUCCCUUAUCUAUGGGGAAGACCCGUGCUCCUCUUGCUAUUGGGUCUCAGAUCUGCCAGAGACUUCAUCUAUGGGAAAGACCCGUGUUCCUCCUGCAGCACAACUUUAUUUGGUGAAGGUACAAAGGAAGCUCGAGGAAGGAAGCAUUUAGAGAGAUUUAGUUGGUCUAGGUUUUCUUGGUUUGAAAGAGCCAUCUCAAACCCCCGUCUGUUUAAGAUUCCUCUCCUCAGAAUGUUCUGUUCCAGAGAACCAAAUAUAGAAAUAGGAGAAAUUGCUUAGCUCCAUUACAAAGAAUUUGUCUCUCUUUUCCCUCACAAACCACUGGAUGAAAGGAGCCCCCAUUUCUCCCUGCAGGGAUGCCUGCACACCACUUCUGACACAGUUGAAGCCUAUCAGCCCUCUGCAGCGGUGACUCCUCCAACUCCUUCAGCCUGUGGUUCAGAGGGAGACAAUGAGGGCCUGUGCAAAGGAACGGAAGUUGCACUUGUAAAUCAUCACCAGCAGUGGGGUCUGCUUUAUAGAAUCUGCCUAAUGGGGACUCUGUUUUACUGGGAAUUACAUAAUCGAGCAAUCAGAAAGUAGCAUAAAAAAAGAUUUGCGAGCUAUAGCUUAGGAAGACCGUAUCUCAAAGCAGAAAACAGUUUUGUGUUUAUUGUUUUCAGGUCUGUUAGUAAUGCUUGUAGGAAAAUAUAUUUAAAGCCUGAUAUGUACCAAAAGAUUACUGUUAUUUAUUCAACAUUUGUAAUAAGGUCAUAUGACUGCUAAAUAUAUUUUUAUAUUUUAUUUAUUUAACAGAAAAGUUCCUUUCUGUUAAGAGAUUUCUAUCCUUAAAAAUCUUAACUGUUUUAUACAAACAAUCUUGUGGGAUUAAAAAAAAAGGAGUAACCC
rnacentral:lncRNA from 1 species